rnacentral:rRNA from 1 species
GAGACAGCAGCCGCCGCGGUAAUACGAAGGGGGCUAGCGUUGUUCGGAUUAACUGGGCGUAAAGGGUGCGUAGGCGGGCUUUUAAGUCAGGGGUGAAAUCCCAAGGCUCAACCUCGGAACUGCCUUUGAUACUGGGAGUCUUGAGUCCGGGAGAGGUGAGUGGAACUGCGAGUGUAGAGGUGAAAUUCGUAGAUAUUCGCAAGAACACCAGUGGCGAAGGCGGCUCACUGGCCCGGUACUGACGCUGAGGCACGAAAGCGUGGGGAGCAAACAGGAUUAGAUACCCCCGUAGUCCCUGUCUCUUAUAC